GACGAACGCUGGCGGCGUGCCUAAUACAUGCAAGUCGAGCGAAGUUUUUCUGGUGCUUGCACUAGAAAAACUUAGCGGCGAACGGGUGAGUAACGCGUAAAGAACCUGCCUCAUAGACUGGGACAACUAUUGGAAACGAUAGCUAAUACCGGAUAACAGCAUUAACUGCAUGGUUGAUGUUUAAAAGUUGGUUUUGCUAACACUAUGAGAUGGCUUUGCGGUGCAUUAGCUAGUUGGUGGGGUAAAGGCCUACCAAGGCGACGAUGCAUAGCCGACCUGAGAGGGUGAUCGGCGACACUGGGACUGAGACACGGCCCAGACUCCUACGGGAGGCAGCAGUAGGGAAUCUUCCGCAAUGGGCGAAAGCCUGACGGAGCAGCGCCGCGUGAGUGAAGAAGGAUUUCGGUUCGUAAAGCUCUGUUGUUAGGGAAGAAUGAUUGUGUAGUAACUAUACACAGUAGAGACGGUACCUAACCAGAAAGCCACGGCUAACUACGUG
rnacentral:rRNA from 1 species